UGGGGAUUUUGGACAAUGGGCGAAAGCCUGAUCCAGCAAUGCCGCGUGUGUGAAGAAGGCCUUCGGGUUGUAAAGCACUUUUGUCCGGAAAGAAAUCCUUGGCUCUAAUACAGUCGGGGGAUGACGGUACCGGAAGAAUAAGCACCGGCUAACUACGUGCCAGCAGCCGCGGUAAUACGUAGGGUGCAAGCGUUAAUCGGAAUUACUGGGCGUAAAGCGUGCGCAGGCGGUUUGCUAAGACCGAUGUGAAAUCCCCGGGCUCAACCUGGGAACUGCAUUGGUGACUGGCAGGCUAGAGUAUGGCAGAGGGGGGUAGAAUUCCACGUGUAGCAGUGAAAUGCGUAGAGAUGUGGAGGAAUACCGAUGGCGAAGGCAGCCCCCUGGGCCAAUACUGACGCCCAUGCACGAAAGCGUGGGGAGCAAACAGGAUUAGAUACCCUGGUAGUCCACGCCCUAAACGAUGUCAACUAGUUGUUGGGGAUUCAUUUCCUUAGUAACGUAGCUAACGCGUGAAGUUGACCGCCUGGGGAGUACGGUCGCAAGAUUAAAACUU
rnacentral:rRNA from 1 species